rnacentral:rRNA from 1 species
AAUCAACGCUGGCGGCGUGCCUCAGACAUGCAAGUCGAACGAUUAAACUUUCCUUCGGGAAGGAUAUAAAGUGGCGCACGGGUGAGUAACACGUAAGUAAUCUACCCUCGAGUGGGGAAUAACAUCGGGAAACCGAUGCUAAUACCGCAUAACGCAGCGGCACCGCAAGGUGACAGUUGUUAAAGGAGUAAUUCGCUUGA